rnacentral:lncRNA from 1 species
CGAUCUACCGCCAUCCGUCACAGCAAUGAAACUUCAUGUCUUGUUGCUGUCAGUGAGUGACGUUGCUAUUUAUGUGCACGAGUUAGCUUUGGUCUUCUAUCAGCCAGAGUAACAGUUGUGAGGGAUAAGUAUGUGUGUCAGGCAAAUGUAUGGGUGAUUACGGGUCAGUCUUUUUUUACAAAGUUUGUAAUAUCGGUGUGAAUUUCUGUAAUGAGAAGUUCCUAUAUCUGAAUCACCCAAGUAGACUUAUUUUCCCAUGUGCCUGCAUUAGGGUAUCUCCAACGGCGAUCACCAAACGGGCGCCAACCAAAUGUCCGCAGGCAUCAUGACCAGGCGCAUCCAAUCGUGUCCUUCAAAUUUGCUCCUAAGUGCUUGUCUGGCUUUCUCUCUUUAUCAAAUUUCCUAGAUCAACAACGAUUCGAUCAUACAUUCAAAUGAUUGCACCCCCCCUCCUUCAUUAAUACUCCCUCUAUAAACCAAUAUAAAA